GCGAGCGUUAAUCGGAAUUACUGGGCGUAAAGCGCAUGCAGGUGGUUUGUUAAGUUCAGAUGUGAAAGACCCGGGGCGUCAACCUCGGAACUGCAUUUGUAAACUAGGCAGACUAGAGUACUGUAGAGGGGGGUAGGAAUUUCAGGUGUAGCGGUGAAAUGCGUAGAGAUCUGAAGGAAUACCGGUGGCGAAGGCGGCCCCCUCGGACAGAUACUGACACUCAGAUGCGAAAGCGUGGGGAGCAAACAGGAUUAGAUACCCUGGUAG
rnacentral:rRNA from 1 species